rnacentral:tRNA from 2 species
GCCCAUAUAGCUCAGAGGUAGAGCACUUCCUUGGUAAGGAAGAGGUCGGAAGUUCAAGUCUUCUUAUGGGCUCCA